CAUCAAGAUACAUCGAGCAGAAUAUGAUAUACUUCAUAGCUAUAUAUACUUCCGUUAUAGAUCCUUCAGGCCGUAUCUUAUUGCGCACAUAUUUAUUUAAGGUAUAUAAGAAUCUGUAAAUAAAAAUAAAUUUAAAUUUAACUAAUAUAUUUAUAUCUUAUAACUGAUAUGACAAAGAGAUUAUGAUUACUUUACCUUUCAAUAUGAUACAUUCACCAAUAAUAUACCGAUCCGAUCAAAAGAGCUUUUUUUGGGAGAUGAAUAGUCAGGUGCACUAUAACAUCAAAAAAUGAUAGCAGAAAAUUUUUUUUCAACUUAUAAAAAAUGAGCACAAUAUCCUUCUCAAAUAAGUUAAUCUUCAAUUUUCAGUAAUAC
rnacentral:lncRNA from 1 species